UUUAUUAUUAGAUUAUGUGAUAAAGAUAAAAAAAAACAUAAGUUUAACAUUUAUUUUCUUUUAUUAUUAUAUUAUGUAAUAAAAAUCAAAAAAAUUAAGUUUAAUAUUUAUUUUCUUUUAUUAUUAAAUUAUGUGAUAAAGAUUAAAAAAAAGUUUAACAUUUAUUUUCUUUUAUCUUGUCAUAAAAAUAAAAAUAAAACAAUUUUACCAUUUAUUUUCUUUUAAUUUUAGAUCAUGUCAUAAAAAAAAUGAUAAAGUUGUUUUAUUUUUAUUUUUAUGACAUCUAAAAUUAUUUUCUUUUAAUUUUAGAUCAUGUCAUCUAAAAUUAAAAGAAAAUAAAUGGUAAACUUGUUUUAUUUUUAUUUUUAUGACAUAAUAAAAGAAAAUAAAUGUUAAACUAAUUUUUUUUUAUCUUUAUCACAUUAUUUAAUAAUAAAAGACAAUAAAUGUUAAACUUAAUUUUUUUAAUUUUUAUGACAUAAUCUAAUAAUAAAAGAAAAUAAAUGUUAAACUUAUUUUUAUUAUCUUUAUCACAUAAUCUAAUAAUAAAAGAAAAUAAAUGUUAAACUUUAUUUUAUUUUUUUUAUCUUUAUCAUAUAAUCUAAUAAUAAAAGAAAUUAAAUGUUAAACUUUUUUUUUUUUAAUCUUUAUCACAUAAUCUAUUAAUAAAAAAAAAUGGUAAACUUAAUUUUUUUAUGACAUAAUGUAGUAAUAAAAUAAAAUAAAUGUUAAACUUAUUUUUUUUUAUCUUUAUCACAUAAUCUAAUAAUAAAAGAAAAUAAAUGUUAAACUUAAUUUUUUUAAUUUUUUUUAUCUUUAUCACAUAAUGUUUUUUGUUCAAAAUAUAUUGAAAUAGUAAUGAGAAAGAAAAACAUAUUUUUUAAUUAAGAAAUUAAAAUUAAAAAUUGAAAUCAUAUGAAAAUUUAAACCACGUUUUUAUAUUUUUAUUUACAUAGUGAAAAUAAAGAAAAAUUAUUGACUAAAUAAUUCUUUAAAAAAAACUAAACUCUUCUCCCAUUUUACUUUUAAUAAAAAAAUUAUUUUUUAUUAUAUAUAAAAAAUACUAACUUCUAUUUUUAAAAAGAACAAAAAAUAAAAAUGAAAACAAAUGGCCAUUUAAAAU
rnacentral:lncRNA from 1 species